rnacentral:rRNA from 1 species
GGCUCAGGAUGAACGCUGGCGGCGUGCUUAACACAUGCAAGUCGAACGAGGUUAAUUGAGCGGAUUACUUCGGUAUGAAGCACUUUAACUGAGUGGCGGACGGGUGAGUAACGCGUGGGCAACCUGCCUCAUUCAGGGGGAUACCAGUUGGAAACGACUGUUAAUACCGCAUAAGCGCACGGUUCCGCAUGGAACAGUGUGAAAAGCUCCGGCGGAAUGAGAUGGGCCCGCGUCUGAUUAGCUAGUUGGUGAGGUAACGGCCCACCAAGGCGACGAUCAGUAGCCGACCUGAGAGGGUGACCGGCCACAUUGGGACUGAGACACGGCCCAGACUCCUACGGGAGGCAGCAGUGGGGAAUAUUGCACAAUGGGCGAAAGCCUGAUGCAGCGACGCCGCGUGAGUGAAGAAGUAUUUCGGUAUGUAAAGCUCUAUCAGCAGGGAAGAAAGGCCCAUUAAGGGAGAUGACGGUACCUGACUAAGAAGCCCCGGCUAACUACGUGCCAGCAGCGGC